rnacentral:rRNA from 1 species
CCAAUAGCGUAUAUUAAAGUUGUUGCAGUUAAAAAGCUCGUAGUUGAAUUUCGGGACCAAUUUGUUGGUCGUGCCUCGGUACGUACUGGUAUUAUUGGUUUCUCCCUUCUGAAGAGCCUCGAUGCCAUUAAUUUGGUGUCGUGGGGAAUCAGGACUGUUACUUUGAAAAAAUUAGAGUGUUUAAAGCAAGCAUACGCUUGAAUACAUUAGCAUGGAAUAAUGAAAUAGGACGUUUGAUUCUAUUUUGUUGGUUUCUAGGAUCGACGUAAUGAUUAAUAGGGAUAGUUGGGGGCAUUAGUAUUCAAUUGUCAGGGGUGAAAUUCCUGGAUUUAUUGAAGACUAACUACUGCGAAAGCAUUUGCCAAGGAUGUUUUCAUUAAUCAAGAACGAAAGUUAGGGGAUCGAAGACGAUCAGAUACCGUCGUAGUCUUAACCAUAAACUAUGCCGACUAGGGAUCGGAUGAUGUUAAUUUUUUAAUGACUCAUUCGGCGCCUUAC